CGUUAAGUAGACCGCCUGGGGAGUACGGCCGCAAGGUUAAAACUCAAAUGAAUUGACGGGGGCCCGCACAAGCGGUGGAGCAUGUGGUUUAAUUCGAUGCAACGCGAAGAACCUUACCUGGUCUUGACAUCCACAGAAGAAUCCAGAGAUGGAUUUGUGCCUUCGGGAACUGUGAGACAGGUGCUGCAUGGCUGUCGUCAGCUCGUGUUGUGAAAUGUUGGGUUAAGUCCCGCAACGAGCGCAACCCUUAUCCUUUGUUGCCAGCGGUUAGGCCGGGAACUCAAAGGAGACUGCCAGUGAUAAACUGGAGGAAGGUGGGGAUGACGUCAAGUCAUCAUGGCCCUUACGACCAGGGCUACACACGUGCUACAAUGGCGCAUACAAAGAGAAGCGACCUCGCGAGAGCAAGCGGACCUCAUAAAGUGCGUCGUAGUCCGGAUUGGAGUCUGCAACUCGACUCCAUGAAGUCGGAAUCGCUAGUAAUCGUGGAUCAGAAUGCCACGGUGAAUACGUUCCCGGGCCUUGUACACACCGCCCGUCACACCAUGGGAGUGGGUUGCAAAAGAAGUAGGUAGCUUAACCUUCGGGAGGGCGCUUACCACUUUGUGAUUCAUGACUGGGGUGAAGUCGUAACAAGGUAACCGUAGGGGAACCUGCGGUUGGAUCACCUCCUUA
rnacentral:rRNA from 2 species